AAUACCGCAUAUGCCAUAGUUAUCACAUGAUAACAGUGGGAAAGGAGCAAUUCGCUAAAAGAUGGCCUUGCGUCUGAUUAGAUAGUUGGUAAGGUAACGGCUUACCAAGUCGACGAUCAGUAGCCGGACUGAGAGGUUGAACGGCCACAUUGGGACUGAGAUACGGCCCAGACUCCUACGGGAGGCAGCAGUCGGGAAUAUUGCGCAAUGGAGGAAACUCUGACGCAGUGACGCCGCGUAUAGGAAGAAGGUUUUCGGAUUGUAAACUAUUGUCGUUAGGGAAGAGAAAGGACAGUACCUAAGGAGGAAGCUCCGGCUAACUACGUGCCAGCAGCCGCGGUAAUACGUAGGGAGCGAGCGUUAUCCGGAAUUAUUGGGUGUAAAGGGUGCGUAGACGGGAAAGCAAGUUAGUUGUGAAAUCCCUCGGCUUAACUGAGGAACUGCAACUAAAACUACUUUUCUUGAGUGCAGGAGAGGUAAGUGGAAUUCCUAGUGUAGCGGUGAAAUGCGUAGAUAUUAGGAGGAACACCAGUGGCGAAGGCGACUUACUGGACUGUAACUGACGUUGAGGCACGAAAGUGUGGGGAGCAAACAGGAUUAGAUACCCUGGUAGUCCACACCGUAAACGAUGGAUACUAGGUGUAGGAGAUAUUAAGUCUUCUGUGCCGUCGC
rnacentral:rRNA from 1 species